UACGAAGGGGGCGAGCGUUGUUCGGAUUUACUGGGCGUAAAGGGCGCGUAGGCGGCACUUUAAGUCAGCUGUGAAAUCUCCGGGCUUAACUCGGAACGGUCAGCUGAUACUGCUUUGCUAGAGUGCAGAAGGGGCAAUCGGAAUUCUUGGUGUAGCGGUGAAAUGCGUAGAUAUCGAGAGGAACACCUGAGGUGAAGACGGGUUGCUGGGCUGGCACUGACGCUGAGGCACGAAAGCUAGGGUAGCAAACGGG
rnacentral:rRNA from 1 species